UACCCUCUUUCUAAUUUCCUGUUCAUUAGUUAUGAAGGGCCUUGGUAGAAUGACUAACAAGGCAACACAGCUUGGCAGGAUAAAACGCUUUUAAGUAGAUACAAGAGGCCAAGGAUCGAUGAUGAUAUCACAUCUCUUAUAUGCAGAUCAUACACUUAUAAUGAAGAUCAGGAAAACAAAAAUUAUUCAUACCAUAUGGUUCUGGCAGAAGGAUGGAGUUGAUCUUGUCAGCUCUGGUGUUCCAUUAAUGGAAGAUGUAACUGCGACUUUUAGAAACUUCCGAAAAAGAUUGUUCAUGUAGCAAUUUCUAAGUUAAAUCAGUUGUUAUUGAUACUUUAAAAAAAAUAAAUAGAAAA